GACAACAGGUAAAAAGCUCUUCAAACAUAUUUGAAACCACAAAAUAGUCUGGAAAUGUAGAGGAGCAGCUAACCUAAUCUAUAACUUUGAGCUUGCUACAGCUGGUUAGCCUGCUAAAGUACCAUUACAUCUCCAACAUAGUGUAUAAGAGUCUGUAAAUGAGGACAAAGGUGAAAAACAUUAAAGUAGUUUCUGUUAUUUUUUGAGUUGGUUCAGCCACAGUGGCAGGUGGACAAAAAAAGUUAAUUUCCAACCCUGGUUACAUAUAAGGACUGUUCACAUGUUUAAACCAUGCUCCUGCAAAUUUAAAGUUAAGUCAGUACUAACAGGUGCAACUAUGUACAGGUGUAAAUUCUGCAGCAUUUGUACUUCAGAAUUUACAGAAUUUUGUAGUCAUGUGAAGAAACAUCAACACACAGCUAAUUAUCGGUUUGCAUGUGGAAUAGAGCAAUGUCCUGCUUCCUUCAGAACAUUUUCUGCAUUCAGGUCCCACAUGCACAGGAGUCACCGCCAUUGCAGAAGUCAGACUGAACACUUGUGGAAUGUAAUGCUUUAAAAAAUGCAUUUAGCCCCACAAACUGUCAUUCACAUCCGCUGUUUCAGAGUGGUAGCAGGAUGUAGGGGUAAAGUCUAGUCUAGUCUCCGGGAUGAGGUUCUCAAAAACCUGUUGUAAUCUGGGUGAACUGGCCCUUUAAAUAUAAAUUACUACCAGUAAUUCAUAUUUAAGAGAGUUUUCCUUUUAUGUUUUAAAGGUAUCUUCCGCCAAGAUGUCUGUUGAAAUGGAAAUGACCUUACCCACUACACCAAGGGUAAUCAUGCUUGGAAAUAGCUUGAUGUCUGCAACCCGGUGGAUUGUCAGUAUGGAGGAGAAGGUAUUUUUCGAGCCUGAGCAACUACAUGACUUUGCCAGCGUCCUUGUUGUCUUUUUUGGGUCAUAUUAUGUCUUCAAUCUGGAGUAUCAGGAGUCGGCAUCAACCACGCUGGAGAUGAUACAAUGGCAAAUUCUUUGUGAGGAUCAAUCCAGAUGUUGGUACCAAAUGCACAGCCAAAGUCGGUACAAGCCGCAACGCGGGAAGUCUUGUCAAGAGGAAAGUAGUCAGUGUCAACUCCCAGAUCACCACCUUCUUCCAACAACUUGCUGAAUUUGAAUGGAGGACUUCCAGCUAGUUCAGCUUCCACAAGAUGGAUCCCACUGCUUUUGUUUGACGAAUGGAAUAAAAGUUCUUCUGAUGUAGGAAAUGUGUUCUAUGGUUUUGUUGUUUUAUAGCACAUUAUAUUGUAUUGUGACAUUGUUCUUUAUGACAUUGCGAAUAUGUAAAUGGAUUUUAUUUCUACAAAUCUGCUGAAAAUAAAUACCUGUUAUUCACAGUA